UUCUGUUUCUAAUAGGAAGAAUGACUUAACAACCAACAGGUAAUUUUCAGAAGAUGAGUAAAUAAGCUAGCAGUAAUUAAGCCAGAGAAUAAGUGCUUUUAAAGACAGAAGAGCAGAAAGCUACCCCAAUGAUCCCAUUAUGAUCAGAAUUACUGAGUCAUAUCAGUCAAAGAAACAUUGCUGGUUAGAGCCCAAGUGGACCCUGACUUCGGUCUUG
rnacentral:lncRNA from 1 species